rnacentral:pre_miRNA from 9 species
UCUCGAUAGCGUGUAAGUUAACUAAAGUUUGUAUGGAGUUAAAACGUUUGCCUACGUUUGCCGCUAGGGGCGCUGUUUCAACUCCAUACAAACUUGAGUUAACUUUGACGCAAAAGG